GAUGAACGCUGGCGGCGUGCCUAAUACAUGCAAGUCGAGCGAACAGACGAGGAGCUUGCUCCUCUGACGUUAGCGGCGGACGGGUGAGUAAAACGUGGAUAACCUACCUAUAAUACUGGGAUAACUUCGGGAAACCGGAGCUAAUACCGGAUAAUAUAUUGAACCGCAUGGUUCAAUAGUUAAAGACGGUUUUGCUGUCACUUAUAGAUGGAUCCGCGCCGCAUUAGCUAGUUGGUAAGGUAACGGCUUACCAAGGCAACGAUGCGUAGCCGACCUGAGAGGGUGAUCGGCCACACUGGAACUGAGACACGGUCCAGACUCCUACGGGAGGCAGCAGUAGGGAAUCUUCCGCAAUGGGCGAAAGCCUGACGGAGCACCGCCGCGUGAGUGAUGAAGGUCUUCGGAUCGUAAAACUCUGUUAUUAGGGAAGAACAAAUGUGUAAGUAACUAUGCACGUCUUGACGGUACCUAAUAAGAAAGCCACGGCUAACUACGUG
rnacentral:rRNA from 1 species